GCUGCUCUCAGUUUGAAUUUGUUUAUCUCAGCUUUAUUGUUGUGUUCGAAAGAGAACAAAAAAGAGAGAAAGCUACGCAUUUGAUUUUGAGCCGCAGCUACGAGCGUGCACUGUAAACGUUGCGAGAUUAGUAUUGUGUUCUAGAAACGUCAACGUCACAGUCAACAAAAUGCCUCUCUCGUUGGCUUUUUAGCUUUUGGGCUGUGACCUGAAGACCUUUCUCCAGCACGGAGCCGUUUUAAAUGUCAUCUGGAAACCCCCCAAAACCAUCCACCCACAAAAAAAAAGGAAAUGGACAGAAAGAGAACAGGAGAGAGUGCAAGUCUUGCAUUUGGGUCUUUUCUUCUGCGAGCCAAUUAACAGCAAAAGCCAAAAACAAAAAAACCAGUGGUAACUGUACCUGAGCAAACUGCUUGCUAAAAAACAAAAGCCAAAAUAAUAAAAAAAAAAAAUGAAUAGAAAAUAGUAUAGAAGCAGCCACGCUAAUGAAACGCCAUGAAACUACUGAGGAGAACAUGAUGAUGAUGAUGGAGGAUGAAUCAUCCAGAUACAUGAUAUAUAUGUAUAUGUAUGUAGCAAAGUGUGCACAAACGCGGCACACGGAUGCCUAUGAGCGUGUCAAAAAAAUAAUCGUAAGGGAGCCACUUAGCAGCAAAUAAAACCACCGACUAGCAAGUGGAGUUAAGUCACGACGAUAGCGAGACACCGCCCGUUGAUACCCUGCAAAUUAUGCAAUUAUUAAGAAGUCACUGAGACUGCCAGAAAUACUAACGAAAUAUGAAGAAAGGUCGACACUUCGUUAAUGUUUCUUUAAAGCAAGACGGUUCACUUUUAUCGUCAAUUUCGUACAAUUUUCUCGAUAUACAAUGCCAAUAACAAAAGAAGGAAAAUUAUCAGAAUAAAUAAAAUGGAAAG